rnacentral:tRNA from 1 species
UCAAUAGCAUGGUGGUUAGUGCACAGCCCCGGAUAGGUUGAGACGCGGGUUCGAAUCCCGCCUGA